CCACACCAUGGAUUAGAGCAGUGGAUGCUGAGAGCUUCAAUACAACAGCUGGUGACUCCAGUCCAGGCAACUGCUGUGUCCCAAAGAGAAGUUACAGCACUGACAUAUCCUGAGGUGGAUGGGCCACAACACUGGAGGCUUGACAUCACAGAGAAAC